AUUUUCAAAAUUCUAAAAUAUGCGGGUGGCCCGGGGUUCAAUUCCCCGCUCGCCCCAUGCGGGUGGCCCGGGGUUCAAUUCCCCGCUCGCCCC
rnacentral:tRNA from 1 species